rnacentral:rRNA from 3 species
GUUGGGUAGGGGAGCGUUCUGUAAGCCUGUGAAGGUGUGUCGUGAGGCAUGCUGGAGGUAUCAGAAGUGCGAAUGCUGACAUAAGUAACGAUAAAGCGGGUGAAAAGCCCGCUCGCCGGAAGACCAAGGGUUCCUGUCCAACGUUAAUCGGGGCAGGGUGAGUCGACCCCUAAGGCGAGGCCGAAAGGCGUAGUCGAUGGGAAACGGGUUAAUAUUCCCGUACUUGGUGUUACUGCGAAGGGGGGACGGAGAAGGCUAUGUUGGCCGGGCGACGGUUGUCCCGGUUUAAGCGUGUAGGUGUGUGUUCCAGGUAAAUCCGGUUCACUUUAACACUGAGGCGUGACGACGAGGCACUACGGUGCUGAAGCAACAAAUGCCCUGCUUCCAGGAAAAGCCUCUAAGCAUCAGGUAACAUCAAAUCGUACCCCAAACCGACACAGGUGGUCAGGUAGAGAAUACCAAGGCGCUUGAGAGAACUCGGGUGAAGGAACUAGGCAAAAUGGUGCCGUAACUUCGGGAGAAGGCACGCUGACACGUAGGUGAAGUGAUUUACUCAUGGAGCUGAAGUCAGUCGAAGAUACCAGCUGGCUGCAACUGUUUAUUAAAAACACAGCACUGUGCAAACACGAAAGUGGACGUAUACGGUGUGACGCCUGCCCGGUGCCGGAAGGUUAAUUGAUGGGGUCAGCGCAAGCGAAGCUCCUGAUCGAAGCCCCGGUAAACGGCGGCCGUAACUAUAACGGUCCUAAGGUAGCGAAAUUCCUUGUCGGGUAAGUUCCGACCUGCACGAAUGGCGUAAUGAUGGCCAGGCUGUCUCCACCCGAGACUCAGUGAAAUUGAACUCGCUGUGAAGAUGCAGUGUACCCGCGGCAAGACGGAAAGACCCCGUGAACCUUUACUAUAGCUUGACACUGAACAUUGAGCCUUGAUGUGUAGGAUAGGUGGGAGGCUUUGAAGUGUGGACGCCAGUCUGCAUGGAGCCGACCUUGAAAUACCACCCUUUAAUGUUUGAUGUUCUAACGUGGACCCGUUACCCGGGUUGCGGACAGUGUCUGGUGGGUAGUUUGACUGGGGCGGUCUCCUCCUAAAGAGUAACGGAGGAGCACGAAGGUUGGCUAAUCCUGGUCGGACAUCAGGAGGUUAGUGCAAUGGCAUAAGCCAGCUUGACUGCGAGCGUGACGGCGCGAGCAGGUGCGAAAGCAGGUCAUAGUGAUCCGGUGGUUCUGAAUGGAAGGGCCAUCGCUCAACGGAUAAAAGGUACUCCGGGGAUAACAGGCUGAUACCGCCCAAGAGUUCAUAUCGACGGCGGUGUUUGGCACCUCGAUGUCGGCUCAUCACAUCCUGGGGCUGAAGUAGGUCCCAAGGGUAUGGCUGUUCGCCAUUUAAAGUGGUACGCGAGCUGGGUUUAGAACGUCGUGAGACAGUUCGGUCCCUAUCUGCCGUGGGCGCUGGAGAACUGAGGGGGGCUGCUCCUAGUACGAGAGGACCGGAGUGGACGCAUCACUGGUGUUCGGGUUGUCAUGCCAAUGGCACUGCCCGGUAGCUAAAUGCGGAAGAGAUAAGUGCUGAAAGCAUCUAAGCACGAAACUUGCCCCGAGAUGAGUUCUCCCUGAGACUUAGAGUCUCCUGAAGGAACGUUGAAGACGACGACGUUGAUAGGCCGGGUGUGUAAGCGCAGCGAUGCGUUGAGCUAACCGGUACUAAUGAACCGUGAGGCUUAACCUUAC